rnacentral:rRNA from 1 species
AAUGAACGCUGGCGGCGCGCCUAAUACAUGCAAGUCGAGCGAGAAGACGUAGCAAUACGUUUGUAAAGCGGCGAACGGGUGAGGAAUACAUGGGUAACCUACCCUAGAGUGGGGAAUAACUAGCCGAAAGGUUAGCUAAUACCGCGUACGCUCCUUGGACUUCGGUUCAGGGAGGAAAGCGAUGCCGAGGGUAUCGCGCUCUUGGAUGGGCUCAUGUCCUAUCAGCUUGUUGGGAGGUAACGGCUCACCAAGGCUUCGACGGGUAGCUGGUCUGAGAGGACGAUCAGCCACACUGGCACUGCGACACGGGCCAGACUCCUACGGGAGGCAGCAGUAAGGAAUAUUGCGCAAUAGGCGAAAGCCUGACGCAGCGACGCCGCGUGGGGGAUGAA